rnacentral:rRNA from 1 species
UAGGGAAUAUUAGAAAUGGGCGAAAGUCUGAUCUAGCGACACCGCGUGUGCGAUGAAGGCCUUCGGGUUGUAAAGCACUUUUUGGAAGGAAUAGGAAGGAAGGUACUUCCAGAAUAAGUCUCGGCUAACUACGUGCCAGCAGCCGCGGUAACACGUAGGAGGCAAACGUUAUCCGGAUUUAAUGGGCGUAAAGCGCGUGUAGGUGGUUCUGUAAGUAGGGCGUGAAAGCUCCCGGCUCAACUGGGAGAGGCCGUUCUAAACUGCAGAGCUAGAGGAUGGUAGAGGGGGGUGGAAUUCCAGGUGUAGCGGUGGAAUGCGCAGAUAUCUGGAGGAACACCAGUGGCGAAAGCGGCCUCCUGGACCAUUCCUGACGCUCAGACGCGAAAGCUAGGGUAGCAAAC